GACGGGGCCCGCACAAGCGGUGGAGUAUGUGGUUUAAUCGAUGCAACGCGAAGAACCUUACCUGGUCUUGACAUCCCGGAGACCCUUAGGAAACUAGGGGGUGCUUCCAUCUGGAAGAAUCUGGAGACAGGUGCUGCAUGGCUGUCGUCAGCUCGUGUCGUGAGAUGUUGGGUUAAGUCCCGCAACGAGCGCAACCCUUGCCUUUAGUUGCCAGCAGUUCGGCUGGGCACUCUAAAGGGACUGCCGGUGUUAAACCGGAGGAAGGUGGGGAUGACGUCAAGUCCUCAUGGCCUUUAUGACCAGGGCUACACACGUACUACAAUGGCCGAUACAAAGGGCAGCGACACUGCGAGGUGAAGCCAAUCCCGUAAAAUCGGUCUCAGUCCGGAUUGGAGUCUGCAACUCGACUCCAUGAAGUUGGAAUCGCUAGUAAUCGUGGAUCAGCAUGCCACGGUGAAUACGUUCCCGGGCCUU
rnacentral:rRNA from 1 species